UCUCAAGAAAAGAAUUUCAGUUCCACCUAAAAUAACCCCAAUCCACAUAAAUUAUAUCUUAAUUUUAGAGUAAUUCAAAUAAGGUACAGCCUAUUUGAUACAGGACUCAACCUUUACAAACGGGUAACAGUUAUAUUACACACCCUAGUGGGCCUAAGAGCAGCCAUCUUAUUAAAAGCGUUAAAGCUUAUUCGUGUUAAUUUUAAUUCAUAACAUUCUAUUGACCCCUUCACAACUACUGAGAACUUCUAUAAAAUAUAGAACCUUUUAUGCUAAAACUAGUAACAAGAGGAAGCCUCCUCUCUAAGAUGUAAAUUUAAGCCAGAAAGAACCCUUCACUGGCAAUCAACAAAUAAAAAUAGCAACUAUCACUAGAAAAUUCUAUUUUAUCCCCUGUUAACCUAACACCAGAACAUCUCAAGAAAGAUUUAAAAAAAAAGAAGGAACUCGGCAAAUAUUAAUCCCGCCUGUUUACCAAAAACAUCACCUCUUGCUUCUAUAAGAGGCCCAGCCUGCCCAGUGACUCUUGUUUAACGGCCGCGGAACCCUAACCGUGCGAAGGUAGCGUAAUCACUUGUUCUAUAAAUGAGGACUAGUAUGAAAGGCUUCACGAGGGUUAUACUGUCUCCUUUUUUCAAUCAGUGAAACUAAUCUCCCCGUGAAGAAGCGGGGAUAACAAUAUAAGACGAGAAGACCCCAUGGAGCUUAAAACACUUUUAACUAUCACACUUAUUCCCUCAAUAACCAUCAUGUGACACAUGUUUAAAUGUUUUCAGUUGGGGUGACUGCGGGAAACAAUCAAACCCCCGCGAUGAAAGGGUAUAUAUCCUAAACUAUAAGCCACAGCUUUAAGUAUCAGAAAACUGACAUCCUUUGACCCAAUUCUUUGAUCAACGAACCAAGUUACCCUGGGGAUAACAGCGCAAUCCACCUUAAGAGCCCUUAUCGACAGGUGGGCUUACGACCUCGAUGUUGGAUCAGGGUAUCCUAGUGGUGCAGCCGCUACUAAAGGUUCGUUUGUUCAACGAUUAAAACCCUACGUGAUCUGAGUUCAGACCGGAGUAAUCCAGGUCAGUUUCUAUCUAUAAUAGAGCUUUUUUCAGUACGAAAGGAUCAAAACAGCGUGGUCCAUGUUUAUACAAACCAUAGUUAAUCAUUUUAGACCAACUCUUAAAAAAUAAUUAACCUUUACAAAAAUUCAAAAAAAGAACAGUUAGUGUAGCAUACCUUGGCUUUGCAAAAGAUCUAAACCCUUUUCAUAUGGGUUCAAAUCCCGUCACUA
rnacentral:rRNA from 1 species